ACCCAGCUGAUGAGUCCUGAAAGGGACGAAACUUGGGUCUUGGAU
rnacentral:hammerhead_ribozyme from 1 species